CAGUCGCCACGGUAAUACGUAGGUGGCAAGCGUUGUCCGGAAUUAUUGGGCGUAAAGGGCUCGCAGGCGGUUUCUUAAGUCUGAUGUGAAAGCCCCCGGCUCAACCGGGGAGGGUCAUUGGAAACUGGGAAACUUGAGUGCAGAAGAGGAGAGUGGAAUUCCACGUGUAGCGGUGAAAUGCGUAGAGAUGUGGAGGAACGCCAGUGGCGAAGGCGACUCUCUGGUCUGUAACUGACGCUGAGGAGCGAAAGCGUGGGGAGCGAACAGGAUUAGAUACCCCCGUAGUCCCUGUCUCUUAUAC
rnacentral:rRNA from 1 species